GACGAACGCUGGCGGCGUGCUUAACACAUGCAAGUCGAACGGAAAGGCCCUGCUUUUGUGGUGUGCUCGAGUGGCGAACGGGUGAGUAACACGUGAGUAACCUGCCCUUGACUUUGGGAUAACUUCAGGAAACUGGGGCUAAUACCGGAUAGGAGCUCCUGCUGCAUGGUGGGGGUUGGAAAGUUUCGGCGGUUGUGGAUGGACUCGCGGCUUAUCAGCUUGUUGGUGGGGUAGUGGCUUACCAAGGCUUUGACGGGUAGCCGGCCUGAGAGGGGGACCGGCCCAAUUGGGACUGAGAUACGGCCCAGACUCCUAAGGGAGGCAGCAGUGGGGAAUAUUGCCCAAUGGGCGGAAGCCUGAUGAAGCAACGCCGCGUGCGGGAUGACGGCCUUCGGGUUGUAAACCGCUUUCGCCUGUGACGAAGCGUGAGUGACGGUAAUGGGUAAAGAAGCACCGGCUAACUACGUG
rnacentral:rRNA from 1 species